rnacentral:rRNA from 1 species
AUUGAACGCUGGCGGACGGCCUAACACAUGCAAGUCGAAAGAGUGGCGGACGGGUGAGUAAUGUCUGGGAAACUGCCUGAUGGAGUGGGAUAACUACUGGAAACGGUAGAUAAUACCGCAUAGCAUCAGAUGUGCCCAGAUGGGAUUAGCGAGUUGGUGGGGUAACGGCUCACCAAGGCGACGAUCCCUAGCUGUUCUGAUAUGAUGACCAGCACGACUGGAACUGAGACACGGUCCAGACUCCUACGGGAGGCAGCAGUGGGGAAUAUUGCACGAUGGGCGCAAGCCUGAUGCAGCCAUGCCGCGUGUAUGAAGAAGGCCUGCGUGUUGUAAAGUACUUUCAGCGGGGAGGCGUUACCCGCAGAAGAAGCACCGGCUAACUCCGUGCCAGCAGCCGCGGUAAUUC